rnacentral:rRNA from 1 species
AACUUUCCCAGAACUGGUGAAUAGCCCUCCGAAAGGAGGAUUAAUACACCGUAACAUAAUGGAGUGGCAUCACUUUAUUAUUAUAGCUCCGGCGGUUCUGGAUGGGCGUGCGGCUGAUUAGGUAGUUGGCGGGGUAACGGCCCACCAAGCCUUCGAUCAGUAACUGGUGUGAGAGCACGACCAGUCACACGGGCACUGAGACACGGGCCCGACUCCUACGGGAGGCAGCAGUAAGGAAUAUUGGUCAAUGGACGCAAGUCUGAACCAGCCAUGCCGCGUGCAG